GGGAAUGUGGCUCAGUGGUAGAGUACCUGCCUAGCAUGCAUGAAGCCCUGGGUUUGAUUCCUCAGUACCA
rnacentral:tRNA from 1 species